rnacentral:lncRNA from 1 species
CAAGGGCUUCUGGGAAAUUCUCCAGAGGAGCAGGGGUUUGAGGGCUGAGACACAGAAGGGAGGGAAAGAGGAGCUGUUUCUCGGGGCCAUUCAAGACACCUGUGGAGAUAUCUGACAGAAAACCUAAUAUCAAGGGUUCCUGUUUAAACUUCGCUGGUUCCUGUCAAGAAACCUAAUUUCUUCAAAGACUUUUCAUUCCAGGAACUAUUGAGAUACUGGACUCAAAUUGGUGAAGGAGGCUUGGAGAUCCCUAUGAUCAUUUGAGUUUUAAAAGAUAUCAUCCAGAUUGGAGCCCUUGUAAGGAUCCCCUAGAAGCCCAACAGCAAAAAGCAAAGUUCCAGAUGCAGAAAUUUCCCUUUCUACAUAUCCAGUUCCUCAUUGGAAGUCAGGAAUUUCAGUACUUAGAAAUUCACAAGCCCCUGACCAGUCCAUGAUGAGUCCAAGAUGGUAAAUUUUCUGGUAUAAAAUCAGGAAAGAGAGAGAGGU